GGAUCCAAAAUGUUCUGACGUUUGAUACCAUGUCUGCUUAUGCCUGAGCUGAUAUAGGAACAUCAAGGUAUUUUUCUGGAUGAUGUGAUCUUUUGAGCAGUUUUUUUUUUUGAAAACCCGGCCUUUAUUAAAGACUAAAAAAAUUAUAAAAUGGAGGAUGAAAAAUUUAAAAAAGUUAUAAUAAUUUGGUAUAUGGAACA
rnacentral:lncRNA from 1 species